rnacentral:rRNA from 1 species
UAGUCCACGCCGUAAACGAUGUUUGCUAGUUGUCAGGCCCUCAGGGUUUGGUGACGGAGAGAAAUCAUUAAGCAAACCGCCUGGGGAGUACGGCCGCAAGGUUAAAACUCAAAGGAAUUGACGGGGACCCGCACAAGCGGUGGAGCAUGUGGUUUAAUUCGAUGCAACGCGAAGAACCUUACCAGGCCUUGACAUCCUAGGAAUCCUGUAGAGAUACGGGAGUGCCUUCGGGAAUCUAGUGACAGGUGCUGCAUGGCUGUCGUCAGCUCGUGUUGUGAGAUGUUGGGUUAAGUCCCGCAACGAGCGCAACCCCUAUCCUUAGUUGCCAGCACUUUCAGGUGGGCACUCUAGGGGGACUGCCGGUGAUAAGCCGAGAGGAAGGUGGGGAUGACGUCAAGUCCUCAUGGGCCCUUAUGGGGCUGGGGCUAC